CACGUAGGCGGAUCUUUAAGUCAGGGGUGAAAUCCUGGAGCUCAACUCCAGAACUGCCUUUGAUACUGGGGAUCUCGAGUCCGGGAGAGGUGAGUGGAACUGCGAGUGUAGAGGUGAAAUUCGUAGAUAUUCGCAAGAACACCAGUGGCGAAGGCGGCUCACUGGCCCGGUACUGACGCUGAGGUGCGAAAGCGUGGGAGCAAACA
rnacentral:rRNA from 1 species